rnacentral:rRNA from 4 species
UACAGAGGGUGCGAGCGUUGUCCGGAAUCACUGGGCGUAAAGGGCGCGUAGGCGGCUUUUCAAGCGUGCGGUGAAAGCUCGGGGCUUAACUCCGAGUCUGCCGUGCGAACUGGGAGGCUUGAGUCUGGUAGAGGUCGAUGGAAUUCCGGGUGUAGCGGUGGAAUGCGUAGAGAUCCGGAAGAACACCGGUGGCGAAGGCGGUCGACUGGGCCAGUACUGACGCUGAGGCGCGACAGCGUGGGGAGCAAACAGG